UACGUAGGGACCGAGCGUUGUCCGGAUUCAUUGGGCGUAAAGAGCUCGUAGGCGGCCACUCAAGUCGAAUGUGAAACCUCGAGGCUUAACCUCGAGCCUGCAUUCGAUACUGGGUGGCUAGAGUCUGGUAGGGGGAUCUGGAAUUCCUGGUGUAGCGGUGGAAUGCGCAGAUAUCAGGAGGAACACCGGUGGCGAAGGCGGGAUCCUGGGCCAGUACUGACGCUGAGGCACGAAAGCGUGGGGAGCAAACAGG
rnacentral:rRNA from 1 species